UCAUUGAUAGUUCAGUGGUAGAAUUCUCACCUUCCAUGUAUGAGACUCAAGUUCAAUUCCUGGCCAAUGCA
rnacentral:tRNA from 1 species